ACUUCUCCAGAAAGGGUUUCUCUAAUAACUUCCAUGCUUUUUUCAAGCCCAGCUAGUAUCUUUAAAGUGAUGAUUCUGAACUCUAGAUCUGACAUCAUACUAAUGUCCGUAUUGAGUAGGUCCCUGGCAGUCGGUACUACCUCUUGUUCUUUUUGUUGAGGUGAUUUCUUUUUUUUUUUUUUAAGAUUUUAUUUAUUUGAGAGAGAGAGAGCAAGUGCAUGAGCAGGGGGAGGGGCAGAGGGAGAAGCAGGCUUCCCGCGGAGCAGGGAGCCGGAUGUGGGGCUCGAUCCCAGGACCCUGGGACCAUGACCUGAGCCGAAGGCAGACGCUUAACGACUGAGCCACCCAGGCGCCCCUGUUGAGGUGAUUUCUUCCAUCUUGUCAUUUUGCCCAGAGGAGAAUAGACUAAUGAGAGAACAAAAUGCUAACAGGGUAGCAAGGUCCUCAGAAAAUAUACUCUAAACAAAUCAGAAAAGACCUGAAGCAGUGGGAAAAGAAAGGGAAAGAGAGAAAAAAGAAGAAGAAAGAAAGAAAAAAAUAAAGAUAAAAACAAACAAAAGCAGAACAAAAGAAAAAAACAGAAUAUGAUCAAAUAUGAUCAGGCUGGUAUAUAGAUCAGUGCCACACACUAGAUUUUGGGUGUAUUUUGGUCUGUUAGAAGAAAGUGCCUCCCAAAAUUUUAAAGAAAGAAAAACUUAUAUAUGUACAAAAAUAAGGGUUGAUAUGAUGAAGGGAUGGAAUAUGACUGUAAAGAUGGAAAUUAUAAAAAAUUUUAUAAAAGGAAUUGAUAAGAAGUUGUUUGAAUAAAGAAAGAAGAGGAUUUAAAAAAAAAAAGAAAAAGGAGGGAAUGUGAUCAGGAAGGGGAGUAGAAAAAAACCAUACACUAGAGAUUUAGGGUAUAUUUUGAUCUGUUAGAAGAAACUAUCUCAAAAUUUUAAAGAGAGAACAACUUAUAUAUAUAUAUAUGCCAAAAAUACAGGUAACUACUAUGAAGGGAUAGAAUAUGACUCUAAAAAUGAAAAAUAAAAAUGUUUUUUAAAAAAGGGAUUGAUAAGAUGUUGGUUGAAAAAGGGAAAAAGAAAAAUUCAAAAAAAGAAAAAAAGAAAAAGAAAAUUAAAAAAAUUAACUUUGAAAGACUACAGAAUCAUGGUAAAAAAGCCAUGGAUUCUAUGUGCAGUAGUCCCCUAGCGCUGGAGUUCUGCCGUUCUCAUUGAUCGGUAGACUUGGUCUUGGCCGGCUGUUCUCGCUGAUCUUCUGGGGAGGGGCCUGUUGCCGUGGUUUCCAAAUGUCUCUGCCGGAGGCGGAAGUGCCCCGCCCUUGCCCCCUCCCGGCUAAGUAAUCUGCUCGGGUUUGCUCUCCGGGGCUUUUGUUCCCUGCGAGCUUUCCGUACAGCUUUGGAGGCGGAGAGUGAGAAUGGCGGCCUCCCAAUCUCCGCUCCGGAGGAGCCGAGAACUCGGGGCCCCGCUCCUCAGUGCGCCCCCAGAGAAAAGCCGUCAGUCACUCCCAUCUCCCCGGUGUCUGGCCACACUCUGUGCUCACCCGGCCUGCGACCGUGCGUUUCUAUCUCUGGCACCCGACCCCGGGUGGAGUCUCCAAACCCAGCCGAUCCCUGCGGUGCCCUCCCGCGCGGCUCCUCUCGGGGCAGGAAGGUGAGUCUCCCCGGAUCUGCCGCUUGUGGGGUCCCUGCUGGAGGAGCAGGGGCCCGACCGUGCCGCGGAUCACGGUUCAUGGCCACCCCGAGCUGAGAGCCCGCGCCUGGGCUCCGUCUCUGCAGCCGGCUUCCCUGCUCCGUUACCUGGGAGCUCUGCCGCCCUCAGGCACCCCCGGUCUUUCUGUGACCCUGAGGGUCCUGAGACCACACUGUCCCAGAGGGUUCCACCCCCGCUUAGCCACCAGAGUGACGUCCCUCGGCGGAGCAGACUUUUAAAAGUUCCGAUUUUGUGCUCCGCGGCUCUAUCACUUGCCAGAAGUGGCCAAUGGAGGCCCCUCCCCUGCCGUCUAUCCUCCCGAAUAUCGCCUCGGAUUCACUUCUCCGCACGUCCUACCUUCCAGAAAGUGGUCGCUUUUCUGUUCAGAGAGUUGUUGCUCUUCUUUUCUUCGAUCUUCUGUUGAGUUUGUAGGUGUUCAGAAUGGUUUGAUCCCUAUCCAGCUGAAUUCCUGAGACCAGACGAAAUCCAGGUCUCCUACUCCUCCGCCAUCUUGCUCUGCCCCCCCUCUUUACCACUUUUUCUUAUAUUAAGCAUAUAAUAAUCAAGCUUUUUUUUGCACAGCCUAUUCUCACUAUAUACCAAAUAAUUGAGAUAGCAAGCCAGCAGCACAUUGUCUAAGAAGAGUAAGAGCACUGAACUGAGAAUCAAGCUUAGAUUUUGGUCCUGGCUCAGUGCCAUAGGGGCAAAGUAUUUACUGUCUUUGGGCUUCAUUUUCUUCACAUGUGCAAUGAAUAUUUUAAGUUAGAUAAUUUCAAAAUUCCCUUGCAGAAUUAAUUUCCUCCAGGAACGAUGAUGAAAUGUCGAUGAAAACUGAGAGAAUCCGUUGCCAGCAGACCUGUUCCAACAGAAACAUGAAAAGCAAGUUUUUUCAGAUGAAUGGCAAAUACUACCAGAGGGAAACUUAGAACAUCAAGAGUGAAGGAAGAGUAACAGAAAUGAAGCAAAGAUGGAAAGUGGAAAAGAUGAUUAAUCAUUUUGGAAGGAGGUAGAUGACUAUAGCCCAUCUCUGUGCUGACCUGGUCAUGCAGUCUUCUCUCUGGGUCAAAGUCCCACACAUCACAAGCUUCUACUGUGUUCUCCUGAUGGUUCACGCAUUGUCUGCUAAAGAAGUACGGAGUCCCACGUGGAGGGAGAUCCAGAGCUGGCGAAGGAAGGAGGAUAGCAGAGCACACCUGAGAACUUUGCGAGGUCAUGGCUUGGGAAAUGCAACUUACAGUGAUUGGCCUAGCCUAUGAGUUUGCAGCAAGGGGAGAUAAGCUCAUGGCACCAUCAGAAGAAAGAUUCCAAUGCUAACAUCAGUCCGUUGCCGUGGAAGCUGACCCAGAAUGAACUGCUGCUUCCUUUUUCACCACCAUCUCUUCUGGAAAUUAUUAAGAGAUAGAUGCCAGAGACCAGAAUUUGAGAAAAUGCCAGGAGUUUGUCCGAUCUGGCUCUUUAGAGAUGCAAAUGUGCAAAAGGAAUUAUGAACACUGUGGAUGGAAUCAUAAUGUUUUAUCUUGUCAUCUCUACAUCAAGGCUUAAUUGGGUCUUGCUUAAAAAAAAAAAAAGAAAAUGGGUGUUCUGUUUGUCAAGAGGAGAGGAGACCUCUAGAUCUUUUACUUCUGAUAAUUCAAGUCCAGACUCAAUAAAUUAGUUCAUUUAUAAAGGAUUCCUUUUCUCCAUGCCAACGUGUAGAUAGUCCUCUACUUACAAUGGGUCAACUUCAUGAUUUUUUGACUUUACAAUGGCAUAAAAGCAGAAUACAUUCAGUAGAAACUGUACUUCAAAUUUUAAAUUUUGAUCUUUUCCCAGGCUAGUGAUAAGUGGUACAAAAGUGAUCUCAGGUUUUUUCCUUUGGCUCUUUUAUAGAGUGGUGCCUAAUACAGGCUGAAUUGUGUCCUCCCCAUUCACAAAAUUCAAAUGUUGAAGUCCUAAUCUCCAGAAGCUCAGAAUGUGACCUUAUUUAGAAAUAGGGUCAUUGCAGAUAUAGUUACUUAGGAUGAAGUCAUAUUGGAGUGGGGCCCACACACAGGGAGAAGGCCAUGUGAACAUGAAGGCAGAGAUCAGGGUGAUCCACAGAAGUAAAGAAUUGGCAAAAAUCUCCAGCAGGCCACCAGAGGCUAAGAGAGAGGUAUGGAAUGGAUUCUCCUUCCCUGCCCCCAGAAGGAACCAACCCUGCCAACCUUGAUCUUAGUCUUUUGGCUUCCAGAACUGUGAAAGGAUACAUUUCUUUUAUUCUAAGCCACCUGGUGUUUGGUGCUUUGUUAUGGCAACCCCAGGAAACUAAUACAGACCUAAAUUUACUUUCUUAGAAAGUAGUUGAUUUUUCAGGUACGGGUGGCUGAACCAGAGGAAUCAGCUUUGAGGCCAGGUCAUUGGAGACAAGUGAGACUUACAACUUGAUUUAAUUAAAAGCAAACUUUUAUUCAACACUUGCUCUGUCAAGUGCUGGACUGGAUGCUCAAAGGGGCUAUAAAGGUAACACACAGAUCACUUCCUUAAGGAACAGUCUAAGAAGGGAUAGGAAAACAUGAGAAAAGCAGAUAUGGUUACAUGAAAGAGUCCUGUAAUAUAGGCCCAAAUGCUGCUGGACUUAAGCAGAUCAAAUUAUGUUGGGAAGAUUAAGACAAGUUUUGUUUUGUUUUUUAAAAGAGGUCAUAUUUGAUCUAGUCCUUAAACAUUGGUAAAAUUUUGACAGGUAGAAAUUGUUGGGAGAAGAAGGGGAGAAAGUAGUGGGAGAAAAUUUCAAAGUUGUUUUAUUCUGUUGUGAACCUGAAUGGUGGGGAUUUGAAAAUAUGAUGUUAAUGAAGUCCCAUUUAUGGCACAAAAUUUGGAAUUAUUCUUACUCCCCAAAUUACAAACACAGCUUGUUGUAUAACUUCUAAAUGGGUAGGGCUGAAUGGAUAGUAAACUGUGUUCAAAUUAUUAGUAAAUGUUGAGGCCUCUUUUGCCGGUAAAGCCAAUUACUCACUCUUCCAUGUCAUUACUGUAAUUAUUCCAGAAACCAAUCUGUUGUUUGUACGGUUUGGAAAUUCUAU